ACCAGCUGUAGGUAGCGACCUAGGUUGCCUUGUACCUAGGCAAGUGUUACACUGCUGGGGGAAAAACAGCCAAGAGCUACCAGGAAUUCUGGACCUGGUAAAUGCCAAAUU
rnacentral:snoRNA from 1 species